GGAGGCCGAUGGCCACUGACUGACUAGAGCGGACCAAAUGAGAACCAGGGAGAAUGUAAGGAGAUCCAAGAGAGGGAGGAAAAGAGAGAGAAAGAAAGAUAGAAGGACCAACAGUAGGGGGUCGAAAGGGAGGGGGUAGACAAGAGAGAAGAAGGGAGAAAGCGAGAGAGAGAUCUGGGUCAUCGCUGAGGAAGGCCUGAAGUAUGAGGAGGACCAUGAGUUCAUGGACUUCUUGAUGGAAGGUGCUUUUGAUGAGGAGCUACUUGGUGAAGACGAGGGUGAAGAGUAUGAGACACACACAUAGGACAGACAGGUGAACAUCGACUGGCAGAGAAGCAGCUGAACUGUUUGUCCCCUAAACCUCCGAGCUGUACAUGCUGUACAUACCAAGCUGAUGGUGCAGGUUGUAGAAAUGGUCUAGCCUGGUCCCAGAUCUGUUUAUGCUGACAUGCUAACUCCUAACGUAUGAUAGUUGUCAUGCCAUGUUACCAUAGCAUUGGGCUAUACAUAGGAGUUGGCUAUGUACAGAAGCACAAACAGAUUGAAGACCAAGGUAACAUUUGGCUGAUUGUCAGAACGGAAAGAGUGAAACUUCAAUGUAUUGUACUUGAGGACUACUCUAGAAAUGUUUGGCUUUGUUACAGGAAAGUUCGAAAUGAGAAUAUGACAUAGUUUGCUUCUGUGGAAACUGAAUGCGAGGGCAAGUAGUUGUGUAUGAUUUUAUGGUUAUGAUAGUGAUGUACCUUGCACUUUGUUUUUAGGUUUGAAUGAGACAAUGUAUUCCUCUAACCUUACUGUUUUAUUAAUAUUAUCUUACUUGUGUAUGUGUAGGAGAGUUCAAAUGGUACACAAUCCAGAACAGAACAUCCAGGUUAAGGGUCAGUGGUCCAAGCCCGCGAACAGGAAUAUUCCAAGUUCAGACAGAAGGGGAAACAGAUCGCUAUGAUCGCCAGGAGCUUCGCUUUGGUUUAUAUUUUCAUUUGUUGCGCAGUACUGCCUGUUUAUGUUAAGGAGGCAGCUACAAUUGCUGGAUGAUAUUAACAUCUUGUGAUUUUAUUUCAUUAAAUGUAUUUCAUCUGGUUGCUUGCGUCACCUACUAACACCCUGGUACUACCCGUAGCUCCCGUUCUCCUCAGUCCAAGAAAAUACUGUGAGAGAAAGGUAUGUGUCGCAGAUGACUCCUGUGUAGAAGUCCACAACCUUAAAUAAAGUAUCCCAAGGUUAAUGCUAUAGGUAUUGUUAUAAGGGAG
rnacentral:lncRNA from 1 species